GCUCCAUACUAUUCCAUAAAAGAAUGUGAAUUUGUGCAUCAUCUGCUGACCAAUUCUCAUGCUUUGCUUUACCGACCUCCUUGCAAUCAGGAGGGUUAUUAACCAGAAAUUUAUACGGCUUCUUGGCAAUGAAGUAAAGCUCAACAAACUUGGUCCACUAGGCAUAAUUAUUACUAUUCAACCAGAUUGCAGUAAUAGAUAAAGUAUAUGGCCAAGAAGCACCAAAACUAGAAAAAGUAGAAUCAAGAACAAUAGAAAAACCAGAUGAACCAGAUGCAGAUGUAUUAGAUUUACCAUCCCUAAUAAUAUAGCCCAAACCAACACCAACAAUAACCACAAACUGGAGGCACAACCAGCAACUACCAACGAAAACAAAUAACUAGCAACGUAAACAAAUAAGUAAGCAGCCCACCAUACAGAAAACUAACAUAGAACACAGGAGCCGACAACGGAUCUCAAAAAUAACUCACAGAACGACCAUGAGAGCAUACGAAUAGUAUAUGGCCAAAGGAUAAUGGCUUACAAACGAACACACCAAAACAAACCCAAAACAACUCACAAACUGAUUGGAUUGAACAUAAUCGAAGCUAAAAUUACACAAUCGAAGCAGCAAUCAAGUCAAAACCUGUUAAUCUGGGCCAAUCGAAGCUUGUAGGGUCCAAAUAAAGUAUCGGCGAUUCAAAUCGGAGCCAGACGAACUAUGAUGGGUCUCAUCGAAGUUUGUUCAAACUCUAAUAAGGCACGCCUGGACUAGGUGAGCACUGGUGAGGCCUAAUUGAGGCCAGACGAGUGACAAUUGAUCUCACCGGAGGUGCGCAACCUUAAAUCUCAAUCACACAAACGUUCAACAAUCUGUUAUAGGUCCAAUCGAUGUCGAUUAAGGCCUGUAGGAGCUUGGUCGAAGGUCGCAAACCUCAGGCGAGGGUCGCAGGAGGUCGCCAAGUGGUGAUCAGAGAUAGCGCAGGUUAAGGUUAAGGUUAAGGUUAGGAUUAGGAUCAGUUAAUGCUCUAAUACCAUGUGAUU
rnacentral:lncRNA from 1 species